UACAGAGGUCUCAAGCGUUGUUCGGAAUCACUGGGCGUAAAGCGUGCGUAGGCUGUUUCGUAAGUCGUGUGUGAAAGGCGCGGGCUCAACCCGCGGACGGCACAUGAUACUGCGAGACUAGAGUAAUGGAGGGGGAACCGGAAUUCUCGGUGUAGCAGUGAAAUGCGUAGAUAUCGAGAGGAAUACUCAUUGCGAAGGCGACCUGCUAGAACAUAACUGACGCUGAUGCGCGAAAGCGUGGGGAGCAAACAGG
rnacentral:rRNA from 1 species